rnacentral:rRNA from 1 species
UGGGGAACUUUGGACAAUGGGCGAAAGCCUGAUCCAGCAAUGCCGCGUGUGUGAAGAAGGCCUUCGGGUUGUAAAGCACUUUUGUCCGGAAAGAAAUCCUUGGCUCUAAUACAGUCGGGGGAUGACGGUACCGGAAGAAUAAGCACCGGCUAACUACGUGCCAGCAGCCGCGGUAAUACGUAGGGUGCAAGCGUUAAUCGGAAUUACUGGGCGUAAAGCGUGCGCAGGCGGUUUGCUAAGACCGAUGUGAAAUCCCCGGGCUCAACCUGGGAACUGCAUUGGUGACUGGCAGGCUAGAGUAUGGCAGAGGGGGGUAGAAUUCCACGUGUAGCAGUGAAAUGCGUAGAGAUGUGGAGGAAUACCGAUGGCGAAGGCAGCCCCCUGGGCCAAUACUGACGCUCAUGCACGAAAGCGUGGGGAGCAAACAGGAUUAGAUACCCUGGUAGUCCACGCCCUAAACGAUGUCAACUAGUUGUUGGGGAUUCAUUUCCUAGUAACGUAGCUAACGCGUGAAGUUGACCGCCUGGGGAGUACGGUCGCAAGAUUAAAACUC